CCAUUCAUGUAGCCUGCCAUAGGCUAGAAUAGUGGUUCCCAAAUUGUGCUCUGCAGACCACUGGUGGUCCACAAGCUUCAUUUAGGUGGCCUGCAGUGUGUCUGUGGUUUAAGAGGAGAGGCGGCACAUCUACGACAGUAAAUAUACUGAUUUUUCAUUGCGUUCUUUAUAUUUUAUUUUAUAUUGCAUUUUAUUGUAUGACAGAAGUCAAUUUGUAAUACAAUAAAAUACAAUAAGCAGGAAAUAAAAUAAAAAAAAUCAAUAUACAAUGAAAAAUCAUACCGCAUUUAGCUUGGUGUAUUACAAUUGCUACAGCAGGCAGAAAAAUCAUUAAAUGAGCCAUCAAGAAACUAAGUGGUUCUUGGACGUGGAGAGUUUGGGAACCAUAAGCCUUGAAUUUAUUCCAGGACUGUUGCACUGUAGGCCACUGUGCUUGUUUGCAGACUACUGAAAUGACACAAAAUCAGACUAACGAAAAGGUGUCCCUAAAAGUUAGCAAGGAGGACUACUGGGUGGUAAAUCAUGGCUUUACCUUAUAAGUACAUCUGGUAGUAGUGGGUUGAACUGAAUGUCAAUGUAGAAAAGUAUACAUGCGCUUCCUGUUAAAGGCUUUGGAAAGGAAAUUGAUGUAUAUUGUUACUAUUAAAGUUCAACUUGUAGGCAUACUUUUUCCUCUGAUAAAGAACUAUGAUGCUUCUUCCCAUUCCUUCCACAUGACAUGUAGACUUUUUACUUUUGCGUUCUCACAACAACUAAGUGACUUGCCCAGAUUACUGGGAUACGGAACGUACAGGGUUUUUUUCCCCCUUCUGCCCGUGGUUUGGGAUCCCAUCCUUGUUUACAUAAUUUGUUUAUACUGCAGUACCAAUUUCUAGAGAUCAAUAAAGUUGACUACUUUGUGGCCUGGACAUAAAAGCUUCCCUUACCCAACAUGACCUUUCUUGGCAUCAGUGGUUAUCCUUAGAUGUUACACAUUCACAUUGUGAUCUGAGAGUAAUUUUUCUGAGAAGAAACAGCCCUGGCUAGCUACACAUAGGAGAUACCCCAUAUACUCUGGCAUUGAUAUGCAUGAAGAAUCCCAGAACUUCACAACAGACCCUUAACGUUGUUCUUCGGGAGACUUGAAGUACAACCCUGUGCAUAUUUACUUGGAAUUAAGCCCCCCCCCCCUGUGUUCAGAGGGGCUUAUUCCCAGGAAAAGGGCUACAGAAUUGCAGCCUUAUUUUCUCAGGAGUAUCGGAAGUGCAAGACCCAAUCCAAAUUCCUAUAGUUCUUCCUUUCAGCAACUCCCUUGCAGCUCUAAUACCAAGCAUUGUUUGCAUGCUGCCAAGGCCUCUUCAUUACAGCUGUCUGUAUCUGUAGUGAAGCAAAUCCACUUGGUCCAAUUGCAACUCUUGAAAGUUGGAAAGGGUUGAGUGAUUGUAGGACACUUGUGAUAACCAUGUGGGAAAGACGGACGACUCAGCUUAAAACUUUCCACAGACAUGUGAGCUCAGUGACUUUCUGUAAUUUAUUUUUGUGUUUUAGUCUACUUUAAAGGUGAGUGCUGCUUGUUAUCAUUAAUCAGCCUGAAGGAACCUUUCUUCCUUGCUUUUUGACUCUUGUCCAUAUUGCUUGUUAAACUAUGUUAGAAAAAC